rnacentral:rRNA from 1 species
UACGAAGGGGGCGAGCGUUGUUCGGAAUCACUGGGCGUAAAGGGCGCGUAGGCGGCCCUCUUAGUCGCGUGUGAAAGCCCCGGGCUCAACCUGGGAACGGCGCGCGAAACGGGAGGGCUGGAGUUCGGGAGAGGAGAGUGGAAUUCCCAGUGUAGAGGUGAAAUUCGUAGAGAUGUGGAGGAACACCGAUGGCGAAGGCAGCCCCCUGGGUCAAGAUUGACGCUCAUGCACGAAAGCGUGGGGAGCAAACAGG